rnacentral:pre_miRNA from 1 species
AGUGAGAUAGCUGGGUCAAAUAGUGGCUCCAUUAUCAGUUUUCGGAGGAAUCUUCAUACUGCUUUCCAGAGUGGUUGCACCAAUUUGCAGUCCCACCAGCAAU